UUGGGGCUUGGGGAUGAUAAAUUUCGUUUGCAAAAGACUCUCAGUUCUCUUCAUUUGUGAUGGCGUAAUAAGACUUAUAGACAAAAAGGAUUUUCUCAUAGACAUUCCCAUAGAAAAAGGAGGAAGUUUGGGCAUAUAUCGAAACAUGCAGAUUGUUGCCAAAUGUGCAUCUCUGAAAAAGGCUGAUGUGGUCUGGCUGUGAAAUCGACUGUGAGUGGUACUUAAAUAGGUACUACUGUAGAUGGACGUGCAGUAGUUCUCAAAAGGUCUUAAUGUCACAUCAGGUGAUCCUAGCUUGCAUCCCCAGGGUAAAUUAAACAGAAAUAGGCUUAAGUCAUUCACUCAUCACACAAACACACAUGCUAUUUGCAGUGGAGGAUGGUGCUAGUCUUGGUAAAUUAGUAGUAACUGAGAAAGCACUACACAGCCAUAGAGACUGCACAUUGCUGAGUGUGGUGGAACUGAUCUUGAACACCAGGGUAUCUUAUGUUCUGUAUGGAUAAAAAGUUUAGGAGCAUGUUGCUUGAGGCUGCUACUCAAAAUUGCUGGAAUAAUUGUAUUUUGAGUGAACAACAGGGACUGUUCUUUGGUCCAAAUAGGAUGAAUGGUCUGACUGACUGAGGAGGAGGAGGAGGAGGAGUUUUACAGACAGUGUUACAUAGCUUGAAGUGACACUUGUGUGAUAUGUUUCAGAUCCAUUUCUGGUAAAAUCUACAUAAACCCAACAGAAGGAAUAAUAAUAAUAAUAAAAAAAACAUCUUUCCAUGGUGUUUGACAAUAGUGCGUUCAAAGACAGCUUCAUAGAUGAACCGCAGAGCCACGCUGUGGACUGCAAUGGGUUAUCUGAUGCAACCUGGUGUAACCCGAUUUCCAUAUCACAAAAGCUCCACUGGGCUGACCCAGUCCCGAAAAUUAAAAAAAGAAAAGAUCAGUGCAAAACUGUAGACGAGGACAAAGACGAAAUAUAUAUCUAUACUACAAAAAAGAGGACUAGGCAACACCUGCCGUGCCCAUUGUUAAAACAGAUAUAUAUUAUAAGGGGGUAAAUGGUUAAUAGAUUUUAACAACAUAAAUUCGUAUCAGAAUAUAACAGUUUUAUUAAGAUAAAAAAAAAUCAAAACGCACUGAUAAUAUGACAAAUAAGGUUCUCCAACGGACACCAUUUUGGCUCUGGUGAUGCUCAUUUGCCGACAAAUAUCAGGACACCUCAGAUGAAUUGGAUUUCCGGGUGAGAACCUUUCUCAAUAAAAGCUUUAAACAUGAAUAAACUGCUACGCCACAUGAGUCAGUAUGGUGCUUUUAUUCUGGUACGCAUAUAUAUUUACUUCUUGUAAUACCAUGACACACUUGACGAAGCUCUUUGCUUGUUAUGCGGCAACAGCACCCUCUAGUGGUCGGCUCUGGUCCUACAAACAUGUCCGCCAAGACUGGUCCUGAUGCUGCGAGGAUGCAGAAAGCAGUGAUACGGGAGGGAUAUGUAGUAUCUAAACCGAGCUAGACCCGGGUUAUCUUGGCGCAGUCUCUGUGGCGCAAUGGAAUAGCGCGCUGGACUUCUAAUCCAGAGGCUCCGGGUUCGAGUCCCGGCAGAGAUGAGUCACUCUGUGUGCCACACGGCAGACCUGCGGUCAUUUUUAUCUGAUGGAGGGAUGAGGAUGGUGUUUUAGCUGCAGAUUGUUACAUUGUGAUGUUUGAUCGCCAUUGUAGGUGCAGUAACGUGAGGAGCAGCACUCAUGUACCAUCACUCCACUUCUGCCUGCUAUGAAUGAUGGGUAACUUAAAUUAACAAUAAAUAAUUCUAAAGAGAAAUUUUCUAAGAUUUAGAUAGGUCGAGUCAUAUGAGCCUGUCCAUUUUUUGUCUAAUAAGCAGGGAUGGACAUUUGAAAUCACUUUACAUUCUUCCUCCAAUUGGCUGAAUUUGUUUAAGCAUGGCUUUAACAUCUGAAGCAUCUUACAGCGCAUUUUCAACCUCCCUUAUUUCCUGAAAUUCUCCAGAAAAAAAGAAAGCUAACAUAAAAAUUAAAAGAAAGAAAGAAAGAAAAUCGAGGGGCACUGGUCAUGAUAUAUCUCUGAAUUUGUUGUAUUUGUGGCCCAUUAUAGUCCAUAAAAUUAAGUCCUCAAAAUUAGAUCUCAUGAAUAAAUUAGUACAGAUAAAAAAAAUAUAUAUUUUACCCAUCUAAAUAACACUCGCCCCCAAUGCGCUUCUAUGUGGACAUAUAUUCUUUUUUGUGUCUAUUUUCAGCUCUUAUAUAGAUUUUUCAAGAGUUAUGUUAGUUACAGAAUAUAUUUCGUAAUGAAAGGGCAAGAAUUUUUAUCAUUUCUCAUCAGGGUCAAACAUCAGCUGGAACCAGCGCCGGUAUAAUGCGCGCUCCUGUCUUGCACUUGCAAGUGUUUUGGGAACGUCGCUCCAGUUGUGCUCGCACCGCCUUUAGUCAUUCUAGGUCACAGCCGCAGGGGGGCGCUCCUACAUCAACGUGGGUCGCUUUCCUGAAACGGGAGAAACCGGCUCGUUGAACACACCUACCGAGCCGUGACAGCGAAAGUGGAGCAUCAUAAAAUCCAAGGCUUGCAAUAAAGUAACGGGAAAAUGAACAUGUCAUCUUUCCUCUUCCUCUGAAUCGUUAAAAUAAUCAAUCUGGUGAGUACUGCUGUGUAGGAUUCCCAACCUGUUUUUUUUUCUUCUUACAUUCACCUCUAUAAGCUUCAUCUCCCUUUUUUAUUGUAAUAUUUUAAAUACAGCACCUUUAUUCAAAAAAAUUAAAACCACAACAAUAUCAGCCUCAAUUAAGUUUGCUGUGUUUAUGAAUUUAUUUCCUCUCAAAUUGUUAGGGCAUGGGUGUGGAGUGAAGGGUGAGGUGUCCAAAAUGACCUGAUGGAGAACAUUGAAGAGCAAAAACAAGCAGUAUUUCCACCAACCACAGCAAAAAUGUCAAAAAUGAUUAUGCUUCUCUAAACUGGUUUGCUUUUUUUUUUAAAAUUUGUACUACAGUUUUUUCCCUUGCCAAUGUUGGCCUAAGCAAAUCCAGAGAAAGAAAGAGUGGUAGUGCUGUGUUGCUGCUGACGUGAGAGAGAGAGAGAGAGAGAGAGAGAGAGAGAGAGAGAGAGAGAGAGAGAGAGAGAGAGAGAGAGAGAGAGAGAGAGGAAUGCCCAGUUAAUGAACAAGGAGUCAAGUAUGAGAGAUUACAGCAAACGCAUACCGGAAGUGGGCAGUCAAUGCGUAAAUUUUUACAUUUUUUUAACCUGAUCAUCCUUGUUCACCCUAAACUUUUUAAAAUAAGUAUUUCAAACCUGCCAUGGUAAUCAUUAAUUGGAUUUUUUUAAUUAAUAAAAGCCUUGAUUCCGAUGUUUUCAGCAUUUUUAAGGAAUAAAAAAAAAUUCUUAACCCGUAAGGUACAAAAUAAAAAUUCCCUCAACCUUUUAGGUGAACGAAUUGUUUUUUUCUUUUCAUUUUUUUGAGUGGUAUGUAUGUUAAAAAAGACAAACACCC
rnacentral:lncRNA from 1 species